rnacentral:rRNA from 1 species
AACGCGAAGAACCUUACCUACUCUUGACAUCCAGAGAACUUAGCAGAGAUGCUUUGGUGCCUUCGGGAACUCUGAGACAGGUGCUGCAUGGCUGUCGUCAGCUCGUGUUGUGAAAUGUUGGGUUAAGUCCCGCAACGAGCGCAACCCUUAUCCUUUGUUGCCAGCGCGUGAUGGCGGGAACUCAAAGGAGACUGCCGGUGAUAAACCGGAGGAAGGUGGGGAUGACGUCAAGUCAUCAUGGCCCUUACGAGUAGGGCUACACACGUGCUACAAUGGCGUAUACAAAGGGAAGCGACCCUGCGAAGGCAAGCGGAACUCAUAAAGUACGUCGUAGUCCGGAUUGGAGUCUGCAACUCGACUCCAUGAAGUCGGAAUCGCUAGUAAUCGUAGAUCAGAAUGCUACGGUGAAUACGUUCCCGGGCCUUGUACACACCG